AUUAGAGUAGUUUAUCAAAAUAUUAACUUUGGGAGUUAAAGAAAACUUUAGUUCUCUGAUA
rnacentral:tRNA from 1 species